rnacentral:piRNA from 1 species
UGAAUUUGCCUUCAUUCAGUGCUCUGUCAA